rnacentral:rRNA from 1 species
CCUCGUGUUGCAUCCCUCUUUUUUUUGGUUUUUCUCUAUUUUGUUUUGUUAAAAAUGUAUGACUCUAGAACUUUUAGACCGUGAGGCCAAACUUGGCAUGUGAUACCUUUUCGGAAAGCCCAAAGAGAGCUCUCCGAUGAAUGAGGAAGGAAAAUGGAAUUCUUCUAUAGUUUUUUUUUCUACUCCAAAUUUUGACCUUCAUGUACUUUUCCGGGCCUUUUCGUAAUCCUUUGCUAUAUGACGGGGCCGACAAUUAUCUGUUCGGACAUUGUUUUCGAAUAUUUUCGGAUGUAUCGAAGCUCUUAUAAAUAAGAUAAGGUAUUCCUACAUAGCUGGUUGGACCCACGGCAAAUCGAUCAUAAAGUCUUCAAAAAAGAAUAGAUACGAUUGCAUUGCAUGUAGUAACGGAUGCGAUCAUACCAGC